AUUUUUAUAUCCAGUGUCUUCCGAAUUUCACAACAAAACAAUACGUCGAAACCUCUUCGAAUCUAAGAUGAAAAUCCUGAUUUACGGGGAAAAUGAACCCCUCUUCAAGGAUUAUCGCCAGAUACGAAAUAAACUCUCCUUUUUCACUUGUGUUUUUGAUUGAGCUUUUCUUUUAUCUGUUUCAUCAAGAUUUAACUUUUCUCUUCACUAUCUUGCAAGUUUGCUUUGACAUAAUCAAUAUCAGUUAAAUGAAAACGAAAAUGUUGAAUAUCACAUUAUUAAUCGAGUACCAAAAUUAGCCCAGAGAGUUUGGUAUUAUCCAUUUUAUUGAUUCAUUCUUUUGAUUAUAACAAUUUGUAUUUUUCUGACGUUUGUGUUGUGCUGUUAUUUAUUUGUUGCAAUUAGUUUCAGUCAUGUUUAAUUCAUUAUUGCUAUUUCAUUCUUUGAUUUUUUUUGGAGAUUCUUGUGAUAUAUGUUCCAGAAAAUGCCCGGUAAUUGGGUGGGUGGUAAAAGCAUAGAUGGCAGAUUAUUUAAUUCUUGAUUUUCCAUGGUCGUUUUAUGUUAAUAUCCAAAUCCUUGAAUCCAUAUGCAACCUUAGAUAUAAUCCAACUUCCUCGUUGUUUAAUUAUUUGAUGUAGGUUAUGUAAAUUAAAUGGAUAAUACCAUUUAGUUAUAUUUUAGUAGUUGCAGCAAGUUUGAACCAAAAUCAGGAAAAUGUUUGUACAAAUUAGGUAUGAGCUUGGAGGGAGUGAGCAUCAACUCAUGUAGCAUCUGUCCCAAAGUGAAACAAUGAUGAAACAUAGAAGUUGUUGAAAAUCAUGUAACUCUCAUUCGUUUUCAUAAGUAAUAGUAAUAGUAAACUAUGUGUAUUCACUUAGGUAACAGUGGGACACCGAGGUCUUAGUUGUUUGUGGAUGUAAGAGCUACAUGUCUAAAUAUAGUUUAGUGGAGAAAUGGUGAUUAUGGGUUAUGUUUAGAGGUUCACAUGCAUGAUGCAUCAACCUUGGGAUAUAGAUAGAUGGAUGUCAAGGAUAUUAGGAAAUUCCAACUCUAAUCAGAUUGCACAAGUAUUCUACGGAAGAAAACCAUAGGUCGAAUGAGGUUGAUACUACAUGACAUGUACAAGGUUGCUAAUUUUAAAAGUAAAGAGAGUCAUAGUAGAUUCUAUGAAAAAAGAGAUUCUAGUUGCACAGAAUACAAGUGGAAUGGUCAGUUACAUCAGAGGAGAUCGUCUUACAAAAUGCUAUAGUUGUCUCCACUGACUUCUAGAGGAGCCGAGAAAGACAAGAUGUUAGGCAACAUAACUAUUAGAGAAAUAAAUAUUUUGCAAUAUUAAAAUAAUUAGAAUAGGCUAGAAUAUGUAUAACUAGAACUAUGUAUCUCAUGUUAACCGACUUAGCAUAAAUUAAUCCAGAAUAGGUAAUUAGGUACCAAAAUAUUUUGGUGUUUUUGUGUGGUCUCCAAUGUUGAAUUCCUAUAAAUAGGCAUUAGGCUUUUUUUGUAGCAAUGCAAGGGAGAGUGAAGAAUUGAAAAUAAGUGAGUGUGAGAGUGUUCUAUUGUGAGGUGUGUCCUAAUCGAGCUAGUGGUGUGUCCUCGGGUAUCUAAUGAGGUGUGUCAUCCAAGAGUGUGUUUUAAGUUGUUUCCUCAAAAGUAUUGUAAUGUGAUCUUGUGUUGGUGUUGUGUAACUGUCUGUUCGUGUAUUUGGUGGUUCGUACACCAUUGUUGAGUAUAAUAAAUAUCCUUUUGUGUAAUCGAUUUUGUAGUACCAUGGAUAACCAACAAAUGUAUGUUAUCUUUGGUUGUUAUUGUGUAUUCUAAGUGGAAAUCUAACUAUUAUCGGAGAUAGUCACAUUUUUAAUGUCGAAUUUCAUAGUGGAAGAUACAAUCUUUUUAGUGGAAGAUACCCAAGAUACUUAUUAUUUCUCACUAGUCUUUAUCCCACAUCGAACUCUUACCCGUAAUACUUCUUUUUUUCACCUAUAAAAGGGUUCUAAGUUUCCUUUUAUUUUUUCUAUCGGCCAACUAAAAUAGUUCUUAAUUAAGGGUGUUUUUGGCUUUGCUAUAAUUUGGUGAAGUGGUCAAUCAUAGAGGGCGUGUGGGGCUACACACAUCGUUCAGAGACAUUCAUUACCAAAGUUUUUGUUUUUAAUUUCAUCAAAUUUGACUGGAUUCGUCUCUGUGGAGCACUAAAGUUCAAUAUCUCGGUGCAAAAAAUGAAAAUCCCUCCAAGGUUUAUUCAAUCUCUUCCAAGAAACUGGCCAUUGAAUUUGUCACUUCGAGACCGUUAUAACAAUUUGAGGAAUGUGAAAGUGGAAAUGAUUGGUGGUGAUUGGUACUUUAAAGAUGGUUGGGCAAAAUUUGCUGAUGAUAAUAAGAUAAAAGGAGGGGAUAUGUUUAUCUAUGAGUAUUUCUCUCAUGGUUUACUUGACUUCAAAAUUCAUGGAGGCAAUGGUUGCUUAACUGAAGGUGCUGGAGGUCGGAUUACUCAUACACCUGAUUGUGGCCUAUCGGUGAAGGACACUCACCUGAGAAUUAUGUUAAAGAAGCGAAUCACCGAGAUGCUCAUACUGUAGAUGAGGAAUCAAGAGACGAUGCUCCACUGGAGCUAGCGAGGGACGGUACGGCCAGUUCUAGCAAACGUUAUAUCAGAAGAACCUACGAUUGGUACGGUGUAGAGCUCUUCAAUACCGGGUUCAUUCCACCAUCCCCGAAUCCUUAUUUCGUGGCCCAAAAUGAAAGAAACAGAGGAGGUUCUCAAUUAUAUAUACACAUGGAAGUGAUCAAAAGCUUCAAUCUGAAACUCCCUGAGAAUGUGACGCUCCUCGACCCAAAAGGAAGGAAGGCAGUUUCCUGCCAAACGCAAGAUGUGGAUGGACCAGAGGACGUUCUACACCGAAGGCUUGAAAAGCCUUUGUGAAGUGAACAAGGUGGAAGACAAAGAUUCGUGCAUUUGCGAGUUCUUGUAUAACGCUGAUGAUCUAUGCAUCAGUGUAACCUUCUUUCCCCCCUAAAUAGCAACAAGGAGUGGAUUAGAUUAGUAUUGGGGAGUUCACAUUCCUAUAGUUUCAGAGGUUUUUUUAUGCAUUUGAGAUUCCUGAGUUAUUGUUGGGAUAUGAUUUUAGGAUGUAUGAUUUGUUAUUUCAGUCAAUAGUUAUUCAAAGCAAUAAAUUUCAAACUAAAA